AUGUUGUAUAAAAGGGGGAAAGGUGAGCACUCCCCUUGAUAAGGAUGGAAGAGGUCCUAGUGGCCUUUACAACACGCAUAUGGUGGAGGAGUUCCUCCCUGCCGCCCCUGCCCCCGUCGUUGU